AUUGAACGCUGGCGGCAGGCUUAACACAUGCAAGUCGAGCGAGCGGCGGACGGGUGAGUAAUGUCUGGGAAACUGCCUGAUGGAGGGGGAUAACUACUGGAAACGGUAGCUAAUACCGCAUACCAUCAGAUGUGCCCAGAUGGGAUUAGCUAGUAGGUGGGGUAAGGGCUCACCUAGGCGACGAUCCCUAGCUGGUCUGAGAGGAUGACCACACACAGUGGAACAGAGACACGGUCCAGACUCCUACGAGGGGCAGCAGUGGGGAAUAUUGCACAAGGGGCGCAAGCGAGAGGCAGCCGUGCCGCGUGUGAAGAAGGCCUUCGGGUUGUAAAGCACUUUCAGCGAGGAGGCGUUACUCGCAGAAGAAGCACCGGCUAACUCCGUGCCAGCAGCCGCGGUAAUAC
rnacentral:rRNA from 1 species